rnacentral:rRNA from 1 species
UGGUGGGGUAACGGCCUACCAAGGCGACGAUCGGUAGCUGGUCUGAGAGGAUGAUCAGCCACACUGGGACUGAGACACGGCCCAGACUCCUACGGGAGGCAGCAGUGGGGAAUAUUGGACAAUGGGCGAAAGCCUGAUCCAGCAAUGCCGCGUGAGUGAUGAAGGUCUUCGGAUUGUAAAGCUCUUUCGACGGGGAAGAUAAUGACGGUACCCGUAGAAGAAGCCCCGGCUAACUUCGUGCCAGCAGCCGCGGUAAUACGAAGGGGGCUAGCGUUGUUCGGAUUUACUGGGCGUAAAGCGUGCGUAGGCGGCUUAUCAAGUCAGAAGUGAAAGCCCGGGGCUCAACUCCGGAACUGCUUUUGAGACUGGUAGGCUGGAGUUCGGGAGAGGGUAGUGGAAUUCCCAGUGUAGAGGUGAAAUUCGUAGAUAUUGGGAAGAACACCGGUGGCGAAGGCGGCUGCCUGGCCCGAAACUGACGCUGAGGCACGAAAGCGUGGGGAGCAAACAGGAUUAGAU